GGCAACUUGGCCGAGCGGUCUAAGGCGCCACGUUAAGGAAUAAUCCUUGAUAACCAUCUUCUCCAGCAGGAUUCCGUGGUCCGAAAGGGCGUGAGUUCGAAUCUCACAGUUGUCA